rnacentral:rRNA from 1 species
UAGUCCACGCCGUAAACGAUGUCUACUAGCCGUUGGGGAACUUGAUUCUUUAGUGGCGCAGCUAACGCACUAAGUAGACCGCCUGGGGAGUACGGCCGCAAGGUUAAAACUCAAAUGAAUUGACGGGGGCCCGCACAAGCGGUGGAGCAUGUGGUUUAAUUCGAUGCAACGCGAAGAACCUUACCAGGUCUUGACAUACAGCGAACUUUCCAGAGAUGGAUUGGUGCCUUCGGGAACGCUGAUACAGGUGCUGCAUGGCUGUCGUCAGCUCGUGUCGUGAGAUGUUAAGUUAAGUCCUUUAACGAGCGCAACCCCUAUUCUUAUUUGCCAUCAGGUUAUGCUGGGAACUAUAAGGAAACUGCCAACGUCAAGUUGGAGGAAGGUGGGAUGAUGUCAAGUCAUCAUGGCCCUUAUGGGCUGGGCUACACACAUGCUACAAUGGUGGUUACAGUAGGACGCAAUGGAGCAAUCCGGAGCAAAUCCUCAAAGAUCAU